CUUUAUGUUCCAAGUAUUUCCAAGUCCAAUAGUACUGUAUUUCCUUUUUAACUCUUCCCUCUAACCGCCAAUUUGACAAAUAAAACUUUUGAAUCACACAUCAAAUCAUCAAACUUCUUCGUCUUCGUCUUCGUCUUCGUCUUCGUCAAUUUGAAUCCCUAAAAUCUUUUGCGUAGAUUUUCUUCAAAUUUCCACCAUGAGUAACAUCUUCACAGCAGCUUCUAAUGGAGACCUUAAACGCAUCAAAGAAAUCGUGAAACGUUUGAAUGAUAAGUAUGGAGAACAGAAGGCGAAAGAAAUCUUGGGAGGAAAAGACUCGAAGGGGCGUACAAUUCUACACAUUGCUGCUUCCGAGGGUCGAACUUUAAUCUGCAAAUACCUAGUCGACACUAUCAAGUUUGAUAUUAAUAGCAAAGAUCGAAUGGGUUCCACUCCUCUGCAUCAUGCGGUUUUGGAAGGGCAUUUCAUGACUUCUUCUUUUCUACUGGAUCAUGGUGCAGAUCCUAAUGCGACAAGCCCUAAUGGAUUAACUCCAUUGCACUAUGCUGCUAAAAAUGGAAGAAAAGACCAUGUGAAACUGUUAAUAUCAAAAGGUGCUGAAGUUGAUGCGCUAUCGGCUUCUAGAGGCACACCAUUGCGAAAUGCCGCUGCAUAUGGCAUGAAAGAUGUUGUUAAGAUUUUGCUUGGUCAUAAAGCUAAUCCAAAUUAUACUAGUCAUCCCGCAUUGAACCCGUUGGUAGUUGCCGUCCUAGAUCAAUCUAUUGAUUGCGUAAGGCUACUGCUGAAGAGUCAUGCUGACCCAAAUCUCUGUUUAGAUAAACCUUUGGUUGUUGCUGUAUUUGGAGGCAAUAUAGAGAUUAUCAAAUGCUUGCUUCGAGCUGGAGCUGAUCCUAAUGUUACUAAUUUUUUUGAUCUUACACCAAUUGAAAUUGCGGCUAUGGAAGGUCAUCUUGCAGUUGUAGAAACCCUCUUUGAUGCUACUACUCCUAUUCCUCAUAUUCCGAUUUGGAGCUGUCAUGGAAUAUGCGAGUAUAUGAACUCUCAAGAAGCAAAAAAUCAGCGGCAACUCAAAGCUGUAACAAAAUUCUUUUUAGCAAAACUAAUUGGAGCACAAGCCAUGAGAACAAAUGAUUACUUGACUGCAGCUUACUGGUAUACAGAGUGUUCGACGAUGAAGCCAACAGAUGCGACAAUGUUCUCCAACAGGAGCUUUUGCUGGUCCGGCUUGAACGAGGCCGAUCUUGCACUCUCUGAUGCAGAUUCCUCUAUUAGACUGAAUCCACAAUUGGCUACGGGACAUUACUGUGCAGGAAUAGCCCGGAUGUUGCUGAAGGACAGUCAAAAUGCAGUAGCAGCAUUUGGGAACGCGUGUAAGUGUGAUCCUCGCAAUAAGGAGCUCCGAGAUACUUACAACCAAAGUGGUUGAAGAUGUGAUAGGUGACAUAUCUGAAGCUCUAAAGAAUUACUCAACCCUGAUUGUUCAUCUGAAAGGGCAAGGAAAAUCCAUCAGAAAGGUGUUGUCCUAACUUCUAACACAUGAAAACAUGGUGAUGUUUAUAAGUGGAAUGAACGUUUUUAUGGACCAAUUUGAAGACAAGGUGAUAUUGGAGAGAUGCUUCCUAAUGGAGCAAUAAAGAUCAUUGAUAGAAAGAAGCUAGAAUCUGAUAAAACUGUCUCAUUAUCGAAGGUGUAAAGCCUCCUCUUCCAUGAAAACUCAAAAUCUAUACCUUUGUGCUUUUUUGUUUGGUUUCUGUAGUUGAUUACAAUUAAGGAACUACUAAUAUUUUGGUGUCCUUUUGUAAGAUAUGGGUUUAUGAUUGUCAUUGAUCUGAUUUAACUAUCUACAGAUGUUUCUCAGCAAA